rnacentral:lncRNA from 1 species
AUUAUUUCAGGCUGUGAUCCUAGAAACUCGCGCACAGACGUGUGGCUUUAUGCUGAGGAAUAACCAUCCCAAUCAAGACGCCUUUGUUUGACUCUAAUUGCUUAUGCGCUUCAAAAUUUGCAUAAUUAGAUAAAAUUCGAAAUAAAAGAGGAGUAGGAAUAACGUGCACACAACUUGACCUUGAUUGCAGUUAGGCGCCGGCGGAGCUGCGGUUUAGCUGUGAUCAGCAGUUACGUCGGACUGUUCGCGUUGUGGGGAGGCUCGGCCUCACCGCUGGGAAGCCGACGGUGCCUCGGGCUGUGGCUGAACCUUUUAUUGCUCCUUCGGUGUUUAGUUGCACCAUAUAUUGUUUUUCUUGCUGUAUGUUUGAAAUUCCAACCCACGCCGUUUUCCGGAGGGCGUUGCUUGCUGGCUCGCAUGCUGGUGGUCAUUGUGGCUUAUCUUCCCCCUUCAGCAUGGACUUGUUUUAGCGCUGGUUAUUGAUAUAGGUGUUUUGAAAGCGUUGCUGAAAUCAACGUGAACAACAUCCCUUGUUUUUCCCAUGCCCACUGCUCCAGUCACCGCCCCCAGCAGUUCAGCACGGGUGGGCGCAGUGUGUCCGCAGUAAAGCCAUCCCCGUUCCCUUCUCGCCUUUCGUGCCCCUGGAAAUGACUUCUGUGGGGCUCUGAAGAUCCAUGGUCUCCCCAGCGGCUGAGGUGGGGCUCGCCCUGUUUGGGGUUGGAACACUGUUUGCCUUUUUCCAGCCCUGGGGAGGCUCCCCUGGUCUCCGUGAGCCUGGAAAGGAGCUGAGACAUUUCCAGCUCCUUCAGCACCGUUGGAGGCCUCCUGCCCUCCAGCUGGGAUGAGCAGUGAUGAGAGCGCACUGCACAACAGUAAGCGCAGACUUUGGCAAAUACAGGUAUUUUUGUUUUGCUUUCGAAGGGUGAUCUUUUGUUUCAUUCUCUCCCUUUCUAUCUCACAGCCUGUGUGUUUGCAGAGCUUUUCUCCGGUCUCCUGCCUGUGCCUUUGCCUCCUUGGGCUUUGUCUCUGUCUCCAGUGCCUGAUGUGUCUUCCAGCAAAUAGCACAUGUUUGCUGGCAUAUGGACCUGCUUGUCUCCUGAUUCAGAAUCUGUGCACCAGUGUUUUGCAGUCAGGAGGAGAGCAGCGUGUAUUAAGCAGCGAACUUGUGGCAGGCUGUCCCCGGGGCAUGUACGAGGAGCACCCUCCCUGAAGGGCUGGCGUGGCGUGGAGGCAGAGCCUCUGUAGCCUCCGUGAGCUACGAACGUGGAAGCAGUUUGUGCCUGGAUCUGUGUGAGCUGAGGCUGGUGACUGUUUGCAGGCUUCCUGACCUUGCUUUGCUUUUUGUUUGAAAUGCUUUUUUUCUUCUUUUUUUUAUUUUCUGCUCUCACAUGGCAUAGUUUGACCUUGCUGCCUGCAUUUACCGCUCUAACAUGAAGGUGAACAUCUUUAGCUCAAAGUGCUUUUGGAUAACCUGUGGAGUAUUUAUUUCUGCUCAAGAAAACUCCUUUCAGCUAUUGCUGAAUGUGCAAAUCUUAUUCUAUAGGUAGAGUGAUAAUAAAUAAAUCGGUGUCAUUAACA